GAGUUUGAUCAUGGCUCAGAUUGAACGCUGGCGGCAUGCCUUACACAUGCAAGUCGAACGGCAGCACGGGUGCUUGCACCUGGUGGCGAGUGGCGAACGGGUGAGUAAUACAUCGGAACAUGUCCUGUAGUGGGGGAUAGCCCGGCGAAAGCCGGAUUAAUACCGCAUACGAUCUACGGAUGAAAGCGGGGGACCUUCGGGCCUCGCGCUAUAGGGUUGGCCGAUGGCUGAUUAGCUAGUUGGUGGGGUAAAGGCCUACCAAGGCGACGAUCAGUAGCUGGUCUGAGAGGACGACCAGCCACACUGGGACUGAGACACGGCCCAGACUCCUACGGGAGGCAGCAGUGGGGAAUUUUGGACAAUGGGCGAAAGCCUGAUCCAGCAAUGCCGCGUGUGUGAAGAAGGCCUUCGGGUUGUAAAGCACUUUUGUCCGGAAAGAAAUCCUUGGCUCUAAUACAGUCGGGGGAUGACGGUACCGGAAGAAUAAGCACCGGCUAACUACGUGCCAGCAGCCGCGGUAAUACGUAGGGUGCGAGCGUUAAUCGGAAUUACUGGGCGUAAAGCGUGCGCAGGCGGUUUGCUAAGACCGAUGUGAAAUCCCCGGGCUCAACCUGGGAACUGCAUUGGUGACUGGCAGGCUAGAGUAUGGCAGAGGGGGGUAGAAUUCCACGUGUAGCAGUGAAAUGCGUAGAGAUGUGGAGGAAUACCGAUGGCGAAGGCAGCCCCCUGGGCCAAUACUGACGCUCAUGCACGAAAGCGUGGGGAGCAAACAGGAUUAGAUACCCUGGUAGUCCACGCCCUAAACGAUGUCAACUAGUUGUUGGGGAUUCAUUUCCUUAGUAACGUAGCUAACGCGUGAAGUUGACCGCCUGGGGAGUACGGUCGCAAGAUUAAAGCUCAAAGGAAUUGACGGGGACCCGCACAAGCGGUGGAUGAUGUGGAUUAAUUCGAUGCAACGCGAAAAACCUUACCUACCCUUGACAUGGUCGGAAUCCCGCUGAGAGGUGGGAGUGCUCGAAAGAGAACCGGCGCACAGGUGCUGCAUGGCUGUCGUCAGCUCGUGUCGUGAGAUGUUGGGUUAAGUCCCGCAACGAGCGCAACCCUUGUCCUUAGUUGCUACGCAAGAGCACUCUAAGGAGACUGCCGGUGACAAACCGGAGGAAGGUGGGGAUGACGUCAAGUCCUCAUGGCCCUUAUGGGUAGGGCUUCACACGUCAUACAAUGGUCGGAACAGAGGGUUGCCAACCCGCGAGGGGGAGCUAAUCCCAGAAAACCGAUCGUAGUCCGGAUUGCACUCUGCAACUCGAGUGCAUGAAGCUGGAAUCGCUAGUAAUCGCGGAUCAGCAUGCCGCGGUGAAUACGU
rnacentral:rRNA from 1 species